UGCACGGCUGGAUUAGUGGCGAACGGGUGAGUAACACGUGAGUAACCUGCCCUUCACUCUGGGAUAACCUCGGGAAAUCGGGGCUAAUACCGGAUAUGAGUGUCCACUGCAUGGUGGAUGCUGGAAAGUUUUUCGGUGAAGGAUGGACUCGCGGCCUAUCAGUUUGUUGGUGAGGUAAUGGCUCACCAAGACGAUGACGGGUAGCCGGCCUGAGAGGGCGACCGGCCACACUGGGACUGAGACACGGCCCAGACUCCUACGGGAGGCAGCAGUGGGGAAUAUUGCACAAUGGGCGAAAGCCUGAUGCAGCGACGCCGCGUGAGGGAUGACGGCCUUCGGGUUGUAAACCUCUUUCAGUAGGGAAGAAGCGAAAGUGACGGUACCUGCAGAAGAAGCGCCGGCUAACUACGUGCCAGCAGCCGCGGUAAUACGUAGGGCGCAAGCGUUGUCCGGAAUUAUUGGGCGUAAAGAGCUUGUAGGUGGCUUGUCGCGUCUGCCGUGAAAAUCCAGGGCUUAACUCUGGACGUGCGGUGGGUACGGGCAGGCUAGAGUGUGGUAGGGGAGACUGGAACUCCUGGUGUAGCGGUGAAAUGCGCAGAUAUCAGGAAGAACACCGAUGGCGAAGGCAGGUCUCUGGGCCAUUACUGACAC
rnacentral:rRNA from 1 species